UGAGAGUACCGGCAUGUGACGGCGUAGCCGAUACACACACCACAGAACAAGAGGCGCAGCCAUCUCGUGGCGCAUCACCGCGGAGAAGUGGCGUGCACGCUCACGUCUCUUUUACCUUUACGUUUCUGAUAGCACCCACGCCGUCACAGCCGCGCGUUGCUCUAUUCGUUUCACUGAGUGCUGUGCCACCCGCCCGCUCGUUUCCCGAACGCACGCUCGCAAGCUUCAGCUGCGCUGGUAUCACCCACACACGCACGCGCGCUUUCUCUCUGCUCAUCCAUCGUUUUGGAAAGGAAACGAAAAGGAAAGGGAUUAGCAUGCGUGCUGGUGCUGGUGAGUUGCUUGGAUCGCCACCCGUAUAGUUGCCGUUGUUGUUGGUACUCCCCUUCCCUUUCAGCUUUCGUUUCGUUGUCGUUGUUGCGUUGCCAUAGACCAUAAAGGAAACCACCAGCAGUGCAUCCACGCAGAGAGGGGGGAGGCCUGCCUGCGGCUCGACACGCACACACAGGAAAAGGCGAACUGUAACUUUGGCGAUGUCCUCUCCACCCCUGGCGUACCCCUCGAGCGGCGAGUUCAACGUGCUCGUGCAGCGCUUCAAGUUACUGAACCUCGUCCAACGGGUUGCCCACCGUGAUGUGAGCGAGAUGCUGGACACAGUCGGGCUGGAGGGACUUUCGCGCCAAGGCAUGCUGACGCGGUGGGCGUGCAGUGGAGCAGAGGGCGACGACGGCGAUGCCAGCAUUGACCCGAAGGUGCUCGGCCAAGAAGGCACACCGAGGUACCGAUUUGAGGAGAGCAGACCCCGUGCAUCGCCCUCUACCCGCCGCGUCUCUUCCACUGCCACUGGACGUCCAAUCUCCCCGCCUCGUAUGCAGUUUGGCCGACCUGCCUCCGGCUUUGAUGCCCGCAUCGCGGCAGCGCGGUGGAACAGCGGCAUCGAGGAGGGCAGUAGCGCGGCCGACUCGAUCCGUCGUUCGCGCACGUCUAACCGGCCAAACGCCGCGGGAGAAGCCGACGCAGCCGCACGUUUGACGACGAAGCGACGCCGCUACGUUGUUCGGCGUACCCAUCACGUUCUGCACCGCAGCCGCUCUGAGCGCGAGACGUUCUUUUCUCGACUCGCGGAGCCACGCCAGAGACCCGGGGCGCUUGUGGAGGAGGUUCUACUCUGCGACGAGGCGGUGCCGCCGGCGCACAGUCGUCGUGGCGAUGACGAUGCCCGGUGGUUGCGGGACGCUGCCGAUCGCAACGCAUCUGAAUUCGCAGAGCACGAUCGACGGGGCAGGUAUGGCGGUGACACCUACGGUGGGCGUCAUGGUGGUGCUUUCACGUCUGCUUCUCCUGCGAGAGUGCAGCGGCGCCAUUCCCUCGACGCAUAUGCCUACCACCACCAGGACUUGCGUGCGCACUACUACGCACCGCUGCAACCCUCCGCCUCCCCCCCGCACUGGGCGGCAGCCGGCGCAAGCGAUGCGCGCCCUGGGGAGAAGUCCGCCGGUGAGCUCGACGACUACGAAGCUACCCUUCCCAGCCCUACUGAUCGGCUGCAUUCACAGCGCAAUGUGUCGACCGACGGCGACCCACACGCGGUCGCCUUUACUUCACCGCCGCUGCGCUCUCGGCCGGCUGGCGCCGCGCCAUCCUCGUUGGGGGGCCCAGCGCGGAUGCGCAGCAUGAACUUUGCAUCACUCGCUCAGGGAGAUGCCGCCACUGCCUCGCCUGCCGAAGGCCAAAGGCACGAGGAUCAGCCCACCGCGGAGGCAUUCGUGCGCAAAUCGCCGUCGGCGCCUGCAGUGUUCAUGGCAGAUGACGGCGUCGUUAAGUCGCCCUUCACGGGCGGCGACGUCAAAUCCUUUGCCGCCACAGCCCCUACAGUGGCGCUGCCCAGGAGCGGAGGCAGCGGUGCGGCCGCUGGCGACGCUCCUACUGUACCCCAGCUGCAUCUCCCUCAAUCCCGCGCCGGUGGCGGCGACGGCUUUGUGUUGGUGGACGCCGGCCAGGGAAGCGGCAGCACGAGUGGGCGGAUGGUUUUCACAGACAGUGAAAGCCUGCGAGCUGCUGCAGGCAACAGCGGCAGCACGUCAACUUCGCAGGUCCUCAAAUCGCCACGCGCCGUCCGCGGCCUGGCGCCAAAGGCAAAGCCAAAGGGUGCCGUGGAAGGCGCGCGCGUGCCGCUCGAGGCGGUGCGACAUGCUUCAGCGCUUCUGUCGCGCUCUGGCUCUUUCCAUCCAAGUCCCACCAUCGGCAGCCGGGGCGGUAGCGCCUACAACAGCUACGCGGCAGCGACGCCGCAGCUGCGGCAGCUGCACCCCUCUGGUGCGCGUACUCCACCGACAACGUCCGGCUUCGGCGGCGGCGUUCCUCGGUCGCCGAGGCCGCACACCGUCACGGUGCAGGCCGGUACGGCCGGCGAUGUAGGUGAUGAUGCUGACUAUGAUAUGCCGAAGAGCGUGACGCCAUUAACAGUGUUUCGCACAGCUGCGUCUCCGCUGGGUUCGCUGCCGCACUCCGGCGACGUUGCGUUCACGGCCUCACCAACGGGUUACCAGGUCAGUGCCGCCACUAAAAAAUCGUUCGAGGAACUCUCCUCCGCUAUCGAUCACAUGCUUCUCGACCAUCAACAGUUGCUGCGUCAAGUGUACAAGGACACGCACGCCACGAGCUGCGGAGCGGCAAGGCAACCAGACAGUUCUCCAGCGGCGUCUCGGCCCUCUGAGAGGGCCGGGAAGGUUCCCGCCAGCGACGAGGCGAGCUCGCACAGCUCCUCGUUCGAGGUGGACUCCGAGGGCCUCGUAGAGGAAACCGCGAAGAAAGCGCGGUACGCCGACGGCGUGGACACGACAAUCGGGGCAGACCCCGUCAGCGACGGCGCCACAGGCGACGUGGAUGUGUCGUUGCAUGCGAUGAGCGCCGAAGUGGAGGAUGAGAUGCUUCUCUACACGCAGCUGCAGCACCAGCUGACGCAGCUGGACGCGGAUAUGGUCCGGCUUGGACUUGAGAACGCGAACGACGCGGCUGCAGAGGGCAGCGACGGGGCAACCGGUGACCGCGCAGGCGGGGCGUCCCCUCUUGGACGCGGCGCACCUAUGCUGCAGCCCUCGUCUUCGACGACAGUCACGGUGCAACAGCCAGCACGCCCUCCGCAUGCCCGCGGCGAGGUGCCGGAGGCGAUCGUGCAGAGGCUGUGUGCGUAUCGCAUGAAGAACUUUCAGUACAUCGCCUACAACGAGCGGUUGUGGAACACCAGCUCCAUCUCACAGUUUGUGUUUGCGCAGCGGCUGACAGCGGCCUUGACAGAGGAGUGCUGGGGCGAGGUGAUGGCAGAGGUCGGCUCGAUCAUGGACGAGUACGUCGACGGCCUGGUGGACCACGAGUUGCAGUAGCGACGAAGGACUUUGCUGCUGUUGCUACAUCGUGUAUGCCCCGAUCCCGCCCACGAACACAUGUCAGCAACACAGACGCAGAUGCAGCCACUGCUCACCCGCCUCCGCUGCACCGCCCCCCGCGCCCUCCCCACGGCUGCGUCCGGGUCCUUACUCGAGGGCGGAAGCGGUGGCGUCUGCCGUGCGGGUAAUAGGGGGUGGGGGGAGGGGGGCUGGCCCACCUGCAUGCCGGAUAACCUCAAGCAGGACGUUGGCCAGCUGCAGGCCAGGGCCCGCUGAGACCCUCUACACCCGACCUGUGUGUUUGUGUGUGUGUGUGUCGUGUUGCGCAAUCUCCGUCGCCUCAAGCCGCGGCAUUCCACAAGAUCGUGCAGUGACUCUCCACACUCCAGUCUGGAAGACUCGAUGGCGCGAGUUCAGAGUGCUCUCGUCGUGCUUCCCGCAUCGGCACCGCGUCAGCCCGCACGGUCGGAGGUGGGAGAUGCCGCACAUGUUUCGCACGCGUGCCCUGCGUGGGCAGUUGAUUCGUCUGGAUCCUCUAACGCAUUCUCCGCGCCUCACCGUUGCUCUGCGGACCUCCGCGUGCACACAGCACUCGCACUUGUGGGCCCUCGGGCCUGCUUCAGGACAGCGUUGCUGUCUGGGGUGGGGUGGGGAGCUCGCUGUCUCCCUCUUUCGUUUCCGCCCCGUGGUGACAUGGAGCGAGGAAACGGGAUGGAGACGGCGCACCGUAUCUCUUCAGCGCUUGGAUGCCUCUUGUUCUCCGACUCUGUGUAUCCUCCCCGGUUGGAGGCGCUUGCUGUGACGGUCUGCGGCUGGGGUAGUCGCCGGCGCGCUGGCCGUUUUUUUCUUGUGUCGGUUGCCUGCGCACGCGUGGAUGCCCGGUGCGCGUUUUGGAGCGUGAGCGUUUUCGUCGGCAGACCAGCACCGUGUCAAGGCUCUCUCGGCUGGAAUAGAAUACGAAGGCAGCCAAGCAAAGAGAAGCGGAGAAACGGCGAAACGGAGGAGCUCCCGCCGCCAAUGUGUGGCUGUGGCUCUCUGACCAGUCGAUGCUGUGCGGUGCGGAGGCAAACAUCUGCGUUGCUCCUGCGGCCCUCCCUCUGCUCUCCUCCCGCCGUCAUGUGGCCAUCGCGGAAUGCAGCGUGCGCCCCCCCCUUCUCCCUCCCAAUCUACUUUUGUGUAACUGUGGGCGCAAGAAGCCCAUGUGUGAGGUUGUCAUAUCCGUAGCUCAUCCGUCUCAUGCCGUCUUCUUUCUCUCUAUAUAUAUGUGUGGGUGCGUGCACGCAGCCAUAUGAACAGCUCUCCUUUCCUCCAUCUUAUUCCUCUCUCUCUCUCUCGCGCUGUCUGCCGCCCUCCGCACACUGUAUUACGGGGCGGCGUGCGCGAUGGUGCGCAUGCGUGUGUGCUUGCUUCCUUUGGACCGUUACGUGUAAG
rnacentral:misc_RNA from 1 species